GGCUUCGUGGUCGAGUGGUAAGGACACCUGACUCUCACCCUGGAAUCCCGGGUUCGAUCCCCGGCCAAGGAGCUA